CGGCCGCCCGCCAGCCCGCGCGCGCCGAGCCGGGUCAGGCGCGGACUCACAUGGUGGGACUGCAGAGCCGCUCUCUCAACUACUGCGAGAGGGGGGUACUCCGCCUCUUUGCCUCCCCCCGCACCCCAGCGAGGCACUAGAGGAACCAGCUGGGAAGGGCAAGGGCCCGAAGAGCAAGGAUCCUAGGAGUUGGCUGGAGAAAAGAGACGGGGGAAGAGAGCACGGAGCCGGGUUUUCCCUGGGAUCACGGGAGCGACGGAAGGAAGGCGGGAAACUGGCAGGGUUGGGGGUUUUCUUGAGACCCAGGACGAGAAUUUAGGUAACCCUGUGUUUGGAGGGAACGGGGACAGGGUGAGUGCAGAAGGCACGAAGGAGCUCCCAGCCUGUAGGUUUCCAUCCCCGAAGGCCACAGUAACUCUCCAGGGAUACCAAGACCCCCUCCUCCCCGCAACUUCACGACCCCCUCGGUCACGAGCCGCGGGGUUAAGCAGGCAUUGCCCCGGGGUCACGUCCUCACUGGCCGAGGGCCGCAAGCUCCCGGGAAGCGCUCCCGGCCCGCUGGCGCCCGGGGGUGGUCCUUGUUAGCUCCCCGGGGGCCGGCCGCCUUUCGCCCAGCUCGCGCACACCGGCGAACCGAAGAGACCCCCAGGGGCUGUGCGUCCUGACCGCCACUCGCCGCCCACCCGCCCCCUUUUCUUGAGCCAGGGCCAGACUGCGAACGCUGAUUUGGGCCACUCUGUGAGGCAAGUAUGAUCUCAGUUUCCUGACGAGGGAUCUAACCC